UGCUCGUACAUAAAUAUGAGAUUGAUGUAUAUUAUCUUCCUUCACUAACACCAGUGAAGGAUUCAUCGUUCGGAAAAAGGCUGGGGGAAAAGUAAUUCAUAAUGGCAUACUGUUGGGCCUUUAUGUUUGUUGGUAUUUUAUAUCAAAAUGCUUGGGCCAAUCCUAUGGAAAACGAAGGUUUAUUUGAAGGUGAUAUUGCUGGUAUCGACCCUUAUGCAUUAACGGAUCGGAAUGCUGUUGUUGAUCCAGCAGAGUUAUGGCCAGAUGGUGUUGUUUAUUAUGAAAUUGAUUGGAAAUUAAGAGACGUAAAG